GGCCACUCACCGAGCACAUGGGUGGGAGCGCAGUGCGUCGAGAGCAGUCAGCGUGUGCGUACAGACUCGCUGCUCCUCUUCUCACACAGUUCAUUAUUUUGCUACACAAUUGGCGUGGCCGGGGACUGGCUCCCCUCUGGGUUACCUGUAAUAGGAUAGAGGAGCAUGAACUACAUAGGAAAGUUCAUAUCCAACUUCAAGGAUUUCUACAAUGAGAUCAACGCUGCAACUUUAACAGGCGCCAUCGACGUGGUGGUGGUGCGACAGGAAGAUGGCACCUUCCUCAGCUCCCCCUUCCACGUCCGCUUCGGCAAGAUGGGCGUCCUCAGGAGCAGGGAGAAAGUGGUUGAUAUUGAGAUUAAUGGAGAACCCGUGGAUAUACAUAUGAAGUUGGGAGAGACGGGAGAAGCUUUCUUUGUAGAAGAAUUAGAAGAUGGUGUGGAGGUGAGUCCUCAGCUUGGAACAUCACCUCUCCCACCCUCAGUUUUCCAAGAAAAGCUAGAAUUAAUCAAGACAGAAGAUGAGGAAAAAUUGCAAGAUUCUGGCGUUGAUGAGUCUCUCUCUUCAUCAAGUACUUUACCAAAGAGUAAUGCUAAUUAUGAUACAUCAAGUGAAACAAUUGUACCUUUGAACCAUGAUACCUCAGAAUCUACUCUACAGUCAGAUGCACUUGAGAGUGAAGAGCCUAUUACUGCUCUAUCACAUGAUGAUAAACACAAGAUAGAGAGCAGUGAAGUCGGUGUAAUUCAAAGAGUAAGAAAGCAGGACAGGAAGAAGGAACAAAGGGAUUGCCAAACACAGACAGAGACCACUACCAUACUUAAACCAAUUCCCAAGAAGAUUGAAGAUUCCAGCUUAAUAAAAGGGUCUUCUACAAGAUCACUUAAUACAGAUGUAUCAAAUUUAAAGCAAAAUCUGUUAAUAGAAGGUCAAGGAAGUAAAACAGAUGGUGAAGAAACUGUAAGAGCAAACAAAAGUAGCCGUCGUAAACGUAAGAAGCGGUGCAAUGGGAAAAAGCAGCGUCCAAAGAGUUCAGGUAGUCAGUCAAGUGACACCUCGACUACAAGUGAAGUAGCAGAUCUCUCGACCAUCUUGCCCAGAGGGCCAUUGCCUAGAGCCAACCAGGAAGGCAUUUUUAUAAUGGAUGAUAUUGACUCGGCUGAGAAGUCUGGUCCAAGCUCGUCUUCUCCUACCACUAACAUGGCGCAGUCCACGUCAAUGCCGUUGCUGCUUGAAAAAUCCCAGGAUGAAGUGGUAGACGAAUGGAGUGGUGGUAUUUCACGAUCAAUGGGGCCAGAUUUCCACCCCUUCAGUGACACCGACCUUAGUCCUCCCCCAAGCCCUUCUAACUCAAGACCAGCAACUCCAAUCAAAUCUGAUACAGAAUAUGAAGUGGAGAGACAAAGAGCUGACUUUGCUGACGGGUCAUCUCAAACUGAUGAGAUGAAGUGGAACUGGGUGUGGGGAGAGCUGCCCACGCCACCUCCCAAGACCCCAACGCGCACAGCAAGUUUAAAAUGUGAUUCUCCGGCUGGAAAGACAGAAAAUGAUAAGCUGGCAAAGACAAGUAAGAAAGAAGAUGAUGAGCGCUCUGUGUUGGGCAGUAUGUUUAGCUUCAUGCGGGCCACCAAGAAGGCUCGGCAUAACCCUGAGAGCGAGGGCAUUUAUCUCGAUGACCUCAACUUGGAUGAGCUUGACCCAGAAGUGGCCGCUCUAUAUUUCCCCCGUAACUUCAAGGUUCCUGAGAAACGUGGCUACAACAGCUACUCAUCCGGUGUUGUCAAAGAUGAAGAUGCAGAGUCUGGCAAUGGGCCGUCACUUCCUCAGUCGCCUCACAGUGUAGAAGGAGCUGUUGGAGGACCCAAGAUUUGUAGUGACUCAGACUUUGAAGACUCCAGGCAUCCUAUAUUUGAUUAUAAGGGCUACGAAGACAUAGCAUUUUCGUUAUGUGGACGUCUUAAUGAAUACGAGAAGAACUUUCCCGAGAGCCUGUUUUUGCAAAGCCUUGUUACUUAUGAUGACUUCUGCGAGAAUCUUCAAAUUCUAGACAAUCCUGACCUUGUAAUAAGGUUCGGUGGGAAGUACCUCAACUGGAACACUGCUGGUCCUCAGAUUCUCUCUCUUGUACUGUUCCAACAACCAAUCCCACAGAAAUUGGCAGAUAUUCUGAACAAGGAACACAUGCCCAAAAAGGAGAUACGAAAACGAUCAGAAUCAAGGGGCUACUCGUGGUUUUCAUCCUGGAGACGUAACAACCAAACUGAAGACAUUGAGAGCAAUAAAGAGGGGACAAAUGAUGAAAGAAUAUUAUCUCAGCGUGGUACAGAGUUCCAUAAAGAAACUGGAACCUCGGCAACAGAAGAGGCUUCCAGCACGCUUGACUCCAAUGUCAUAGAAGUGACGGCAGCAGAGACUCAGACCAGCUUGCCUGGAACUCCAAGAAAGAAGGGACUUCAUAAUUGUAAAACUGGAACAGAUUCUUCAGAGUCAGAGGACCUAGAUGAUGGGAAAGAUAGACUUUUUAUUGGAGAACGGUUCAAGAAGAGCUUAAGGUUAUCAUCUGAUCAGAUUGCCAAGCUCAAUCUGGUUGAGGGAAGCAACGAAGCACUCUUCUCAGUGACAACGGCUUACCAGGGAACAACACGCUGCAAAUGCCAUAUAUUCUUGUGGAACUAUGACGAUAAGAUUGUUGUGUCCGACAUCGAUGGGACCAUCACCAAGUCUGACGUACUAGGUCACCUCUUGCCAAUCUUAGGCAAAGACUGGGCCCAGAGUGGGGUUGCUCAGCUCUUCACAAAGAUUAAGAAUAAUGGCUAUCACUUCCUGUACCUGUCAGCCAGGGCCAUAGGGCAGGCCCGCAUUACCAGAGACUACCUUAGAUCCAUUAAACAGGGAGAUCUUUCAUUACCCGAUGGGCCUUUACUGCUGAAUCCAACCUCUUUAAUACAAGCUUUCCAUCGUGAAGUGAUCGAGAAGAAACCAGAAGAGUUUAAGAAAUCCUGUUUAAGGGACAUAAAAGCUCUCUACCCUGUCGAUAGAAAUCCAUUUUAUUCUGGAUAUGGAAACAAAAUAAAUGAUGUUUGGGCAUACCGUGCUGUAGGGAUUCCUAUUUCUCGGAUCUUCACAAUUAAUCAUCGUGGCGAACUAAAACACGAGCUGACACAGACAUUCCAGUCCUCUUAUAUACGACAAAGCUCAGUAGUUGAUGAAAUUUUCCCAUUCAUUGAAAAAACUAUGGUCCCUCAAAGUUUCAACUUAGUGCUCAGUGACAGUGAUUUAGAAGAUGAUGACAGCAGUGAUAUACUCACUGAUACUGUGGAUAGUGACUGGGAGGGUUAUCCAUCAGGUCAUUAUCACUUGACUCACAAUUAGAACAAAUGAGAUGGAAAUCUAGACGGUUACCAUACAGUUUAAGUGUUCGGUAAACUGGAUGAAUUUUGAAUACAAAUUCAUGAAGGACCUAAUGGUGAUGGGAGAUGAAUUCCAAAACCCGAGUGCGAUUCAGGAUAAGAACAGUCCCUCGGUCCAAGCACAAGUAUGGGCCUACAACAGAGUAGACGUUGAUCUAUAGGCUACUCCAACCUUAGUGAUAUUUCCAACCACAUGUUCCCCCCGGUGGCCCAUCAGGAGACCCUGGGCGAGUACUCGUCUCUCCAGUACUGGCGGCCUCCCAUGCCAGAUGUAUCUGAUGAAAUUGCGGCUGUUCUAGC
rnacentral:misc_RNA from 1 species